rnacentral:rRNA from 1 species
GACGAACGCUGGCGGCGUGCUUAACACAUGCAAGUCGAACGGUAAGGCCCUUCGGGGUACACGAGUGGCGAACGGGUGAGUAACACGUGGGUGAUCUGCCCUGCACUUCGGGAUAAGCCUGGGAAACUGGGUCUAAUACCGGAUAGGACUCCGGACUGCAUGGUCUGGGGUGGAAAGCUUUGGCGGUGUGGGAUGGGCCCGCGGCCUAUCAGCUUGUUGGGGGGGUGAUGGCCUACCAAGGCGGCGACGGGGAGCCGGCCUGAGAGGGUGACCGGCCACACAGGGACUGAGAUACGGCCCAGACUCCUACGGGAGGCAGCAGGGGGGAAUAUUGCACAAUGGGCGCAAGCCUGCUGCAGCGACGCCGCGUGAGGGAUGACGGCCUUCGGGUUGUAAACCUCUUUCAGCACCGACGAAGCGCAAGUGACGGUAGGUGCAGAAGAAGGACCGGCCAACUACGUGCCAGCCGCCGCAGUAA